rnacentral:sRNA from 1 species
CAUUAAUCCUGCGAGCUGUUUCUGCAGC